rnacentral:rRNA from 1 species
UACAGAGGGGGCAAGCGUUGUUCGGAAUUACUGGGCGUAAAGGGCGCGUAGGCGGCCUUCUAAGUCGAACGUGAAAUCCCUCAGCUUAACUGGGGAACUGCGUCUGAUACUGGAUGGCUUGAGUUUGGGAGAGGGAUGCGGAAUUCCAGGUGUAGCGGUGAAAUGCGUAGAUAUCUGGAGGAACACCGGUGGCGAAGGCGGCAUCCUGGACCAACACUGACACUGAGGAGCGAAAGCCAGGGGAGCAAACGGG